rnacentral:rRNA from 1 species
CCUACGGGAGGCAGCAGUGGGGAAUAUUGGGCAAUGGAGGAAACUCUGACCCAGCGACGCCGCGUGCGGGAUGAAGGCCUUCGGGUUGUAAACCGCUUUCAGCAGGGAAGAAGCGAAAGUGACGGUACCUGCAGAAGAAGCACCGGCUAACUAUGUGCCAGCAGCCGCGGUAAUACAUAGGGUGCAAGCGUUGUCCGGAAUUAUUGGGCGUAAAGAGCUCGUAGGUGGUUCGUCACGUCGGAUGUGAAAAUCUGGGGCUUAACCCCAGACCUGCAUUCGAUACGGGCGAGCUUGAGUAUGGUAGGGGAGUCUGGAAUUCCUGGUGUAGCGGUGGAAUGCGCAGAUAUCAGGAGGAACACCAAUGGCGAAGGCAGGACUCUGGGCCAUUACUGACACUGAGGAGCGAAAGCGUGGGGAGCGAACAGGAUUAGAUACCCUGGUAGUCCACGCCGUAAACGGUGGGCACUAGUUGUGGGGACCUUCCACGGUCUCUGCGACGCAGCUACGCAUAAGUGCCCGCCGUCGGGAGGUACGAGUCGCGAAGAAGUUAAAACGUUAAAACGGUAAAGUUAGUACGGACGUGAGACGUGCCGAACGGACGACGACGAGGGAGGUAGG